UGGUGGAGUGAUUUGUCUGGUUAAUUCCGUUAACGAACGAGACCUUAACCUAUUAAUUAGUUACGCGAACUUGGGCUUCGGCCCUUCCGGUUCGUGGACAACUUCUUAGAGGGACUCUCGGCAUCUUUAGCCGAUGGAAGUUUGAGGCAAAAACA
rnacentral:rRNA from 1 species